GUGAAUCAUCGAAUCUUUGAACGCACAUUGCGCCCGUCAGUAUUCUGGCGGGCAUGCCUGUUCGAGCGUCAUUACGCCCCUCAAGUCCCCUGUGGACUUGGUGUUGGGGAUCGGCGAGGCUGGUUUUCCAGCGCAGCCGUCCCUCAAAUCAAUUGGCGGUCUCGCCGUGGCCCUCCUCUGCGCAGUAGUAAAACACUCGCAACAGGAGCCCGGCGCGGUCCACUGCCGUAAAACCCCCCAACUUUUUAUAGUUGACCUCGAAUCAGGUAGGACUACCCGCUGAACUUAAGCAUAUCAAUAAGCGGAGGA
rnacentral:misc_RNA from 1 species